GAAUUUAAGCAUAUCAAUAAGCGGA
rnacentral:rRNA from 2 species